CCAAACCCUAAUGUAGGAGAUUUGAGAAGCAAAGACAGGAAUUCUGUGUGGGAGAGAAGAACCCUGGGAGGUACUGAGAGGUUAGAUGGAGUGCCAGGCUCCACCCCCAACUCUCCCUGAAUAAGCAGCCAGUAAUAUUAGCUGUGGUGGAGGAUGGAAUUAACUGUCACUGAGGGAACAGCCAGAGUCUAGCUCACUGCCUGAGGUCAGAAGAUGUUGAGGGUUGGUCUUGCUGUCUAUUGUCUCAGUGUGACCUGGAGCCUGCAGGUUGACCUGUGACUCCGCCCCCAACUUAUUUCUCAUUGGUAAACUAGAUGCUAACGGUCAAUAGCUGGGCAGAAGAGACAACGGUAGGGUUUAGGUUUCCUGGGCUUGGGAUGAAGAACAACCACAAGGGGAAGGUUCAGGAAGAGGAAGAAGGAGAAGCCACCAUGGGUUAGAAGUCAAGAAACUGUGAGUUAAGAACAGCUAAAAUGAAACAAAUAAAAUUGGACUUUUAACUCACAUCAAGGAAAAAAGUCACUGAAAAUGGGGUCAAAGACUAAAGAAACUACUGAACUCAAAGAAGAAGAGAUAGAAUAAGAAUUAACUUCUGGGGGCUGGAGAGAUAGCUCAGCGAUUAAGAGCACCGACUGCUCUUCCAGAGGUCCUGAGUUCAAUUCCCAGCAACCACAUGGUGGCUCACAACCAUCUGUAAAGAGAUCCGAUGACCUGUUCUGGUGUAUCUGAAGACAGCUACAGUGUACUUAUAUAUAAUAAAU
ensembl:lncRNA LOC120095133 uncharacterized LOC120095133